rnacentral:tRNA from 1 species
GCGUCCAUAGUGAAAUGGAUAUCACACAAGUCUUCGGAACUUGGUUUUCGGGUUCGAAUCCUGAUGGACGCACCA